ensembl:lncRNA
CUCUGUAAGCCUGCGGUUGCAUUACUGUGUUGCUCUACUGUGCUGUUAAGAUGAGGAAUCACAGUAAAGACGGUAUAACCUUUAUCUGUGCGUCCUGUGUGUUCUGACCGACACCCCAAGGUCUCCACUAGACAUCACCUAGACCCAGAGCUGCAUGAGGCCAGCACAAACAGCGGCCUAUUCGACGAAGAUGAUGGAUCCAUGGGGUCAGGAAAGCCAGAAGCAGGGGAGCUGGAGAGGUACCUUUCAUGUCCAUUCACUGGAGGUGUGGAUCUAUUGCAUGGCUUUCCUCACAUCAAGAAGCUGUCGAUCAAAGUCAAUACAGUUCUUCAUGCAUCUGGAGCUUGUGAAGGACUUCUUAGUCAUGCAGGACUCCUAUUCACUGCUAAACAGUUAAAGCUUCACAGAAAGAACCUCGAGAGCAAACUGCUGCUGAAGCUUAACUAUCACCUCACUGACUGAAGAAAUGGCACAUUUUUGCUAAAUAUGCAGAAAUAAAUGCACACUUAUACAAUUUAUGGAAAACUGAGCUGCCUUGUAUGAACAUGAAGAUGCCUCGUUCUAAUGUUUUCUCUGAGGCUGCUGUGCCAUUUGGAGCAAAAAUGAAUAUAAAGUUUACAGCAUAUCUUGUCACUGGAAAUUGUUUGCACUGUUUAUAUAUUUAUAUUAUUUACUGUAGAUAUUGG